rnacentral:tRNA from 1 species
GCAGUUGUAGUAGAGAGUAGCGAGCAAUCUGCCCUCCGAAGGCAGGGGUUGCUGGUUCGAUCCCAGCCGGGCGCGCCA